GCAGUGCCCCCAUGUGACACCGGAGCCGCGGACCCCAGCGGGUCAGGGCAUGACCAAGCUGCAGACGGGUACAAUGAUACCCGUCUGCUCACUCCCGUGUCUAGGAGGGAACACCAAUCGUGGCAGGCAGCUGAGCGUUUGGAGCGAGCAAACCGGUGAGCCGUCAGGAGAAGGCAAAACUGCCAGGAGGAGAGCUGCAAC